GGGGGGGGGGAUGAGAUAACAGAAUAUCUCAUCAUAUUCUGUUCCCCCACCCCCAUGAGAUUCUAAUAUUUAUCAAACUGGCUCAGUCUUGCACUUCUGAAUGGCUUUGUGGACAGUGUGCUGACCUCUGGUGCAGUUGUGUACAAAGAAUCCUGAGUUUGAAUCCAGGCUCGUGAAUUUUGACUGCUGUAUAUUUUUUUUUAUAAUAAAAAAGAAUCAUUACACUUUUCAAAAAGAAUCACUACUUUCCUCAAAAAGAAUCGCUACAUUUCCAAAAAGAUUUGCUACAUUUUCAAAAAGAAUCGCUACUUUCCCCAAAAAGAAUCGCUACUUUCCUAAAAAAGAAUUGCUACUUUCCUAAAAAAGAAUCGCUACUUUUCUAAAAAAGAAUCACUACUUUCUUCAAUAAGAAUUGCUACUCCCCCCCCCCAAAAAAAAGCAUCGCUACUUUUCCCAAAAAUAAUCGCUAUUUUCCUAAAAAAGAAUUGCUACAUUCCUAAAAAAGAAUUGCUACAUUUUCAAAAAGAAUCACUACAUUUUCAAAAAGAAUCAUCAAGGCAAAAAAUGAACAUUUAAACUGAUGCUGGUUGAACUAAAUCCACACACACGAUAGAAUGAGCAUCUUUUAAGUCACUGCAUCAACAUCUCUUAUCAUUUGGGGGUGGGGGAACGGAUUUCGACAUCUGUAUAUUUGCUGUGGAAUUCUGCCGUUGCGUACAAAGAAUCCUAGGUUCGAGUCCGGGCUUGUGGGGUUUUCCGGAUCCCGUCUGCCUCCUCUCUCCAAUUUUGCUUCCUAGAAACAGUGAUGAAGAACGAGGAUAGUGUGGGAGACGAUGCCUCCAUACUGAAGUCCAUCAGCCAGUUCUCAGUCUCUAUUUCCAUCAGUAUACCCUCGGCCACAGAUGUCGUGGGCUCACACCCCUGGUCAGACUCCCUUGGGGGCUCCUCUAGUGGGGCGAGGGCCUGUAGUGAAACGCUGUGUUCUGAACUGGGGGUAAACACUCUCCAGACAUUGGAUGAUAGCGUCCCUCCAGUUUAGUCUAGAGGUGUCUGGGAGGUCUACGGGGUGAUAAUAAUUUGCCCCGAUCCAGAACAAUGACUUCAGGUUCUUGUCAUCAAAGGUGAUCAAAUGGUGAUAGGAAGAUGACAGAAGUUUACUGUAAAACUCAAAUAUUCAGGGCUUUCCUGAAGCACCACAACGAACUGAGCCGUUAAAUCCAUAUUAUGGUCCGGUCUUCUGUCAGCAAGGUUCAGACAGACAAAUGAUGAUCAGGAAUAAGGUUCAGCAGUAGGGUUUAAUAAUAGAUCCAACAGGUAAUACAGAAGAAGAUGCUAACGUAAACAAGACCAGACAAACAGUGAAGGUGAGGAACUAAUAUAGACUUGGUGAUGAACUAAAUAACGAUCAGCUGUGAUGAUUUGUGUCCAUGGGAACUGAUGAGUGGCGGGAAAACUCAAACAAAGGAACACAUGUGAUGAAUGUAUAAACUAAAAAUCCAUGAAAACAAAUCUAAGAACAAACAAAACUUAAUAUGUGAAGUGAAUAACUGAAUACAGCAUGCUUAAAGAAAUAUUUAAUAUAUAAAAUAUGUUUUGUUAAGGCCUCUAAAUUUUAAAAUGUAUUAGGCCCACUGUUUUCAAUCAAAUUCAAAUAUCAAAUUCAUAAUACAAUAUUUAAAUACAUUUUUAUGAUGUAUUAUAGGCUAUUUUUUCCUCACAUAUAGGCCUGAGUGUGUAUCAGUCAUUCCCCUCUUUCUUUUCUGCAAAUGUCUCCACUGCUUAAAUGACAUACUACCACAACAACAAAAUUAACAAUUCCUCUGACUCUCACACACUUUUCAAAACCUUUUCCUGUCUUCUUUGUCCUCCUCCUCCCCCUCCCUCAUCAACUCUAACAGCUGAUGACUUUGUCACAUUCUUCAUAAAUAAAACAACAACAACCAUCAGCGGCCAAUUCUUCACACCACAAACUUACAAACACUUAUUAACAGCAAGCACACACACUCUCCCUUCCUCUCUGCGCUCAGAGACAGAAGUCUCUAAACUCAUCCUUUCUAAUUACCCUACUACAUGUCCGCUUGAUCCUGUCCCCACUCAUCUACUUCAAGCCAUUUCUUCUUCAGUUGUACCUACACUCAGUCACAUCAUCAACACCUCUCUUCACACUGGUACCUUUCCCACAGCAUUCAAGCAGGCUCAGACUGCUUAAGAAACCUGCUCUAAAUCCAACACUUUUAGAAAACCACAGACGGUAUCCCAUCUUCCAAUAACUGAUAAGAUAUUUGAACAAGUCGUGCUCAACCAAGUCUUUACUUCUGCCACACAGAACAACUUUCUGGACAACAACCAGUCUGGCUUCAAAAGCAGCCACUCAACUGAGACUGCUCUGCUCUCGGUUACUGAAGCUCUGAGACAGGCAAGAGCAGCUUCCAAAUCAUCAGUACUCAUCUUGCUGGAUCUGUUUGCUGCUUUUGAAAACCACCAGAUUCUUCUGUCAACCAUGAUGAAGGGCAUCUCAGGAACCAUACUCCAGUGAUUCAAAUCUUACCUCUCAGCCAGAUGACCCGAUGGUAGCUGCUCGCAUCUCAGCCUGCCUGGCAGACGUUUCUGACUGAAUGAAAGACCAUCAACUUCAACUCAACCUUGCAAAGACAGAACUGCUUGUGGUCUCGGCCAACCCAACACUUCAUCACAACUUCUCCAUUCAGCUAGGUUCGUCAACCAUAACUCCUUCCAGGACAGCCAGGAACCUUGGAGUUGUGAUUGAUGAUCAGUUAAACAUCAUGGACCACAUUGAUAGAUCGGCCCGGUCCUGCCUUAUACAACAUUAGGAAUAGCACGUCCUUCCUAUUCGAGCAUGCUACACAACUUCUUGUCCAAGCUCUUGUUCUAUCCAGUCUGGACUAUUGUAAUGCUCUCUUGGCAGACCUUCCUGCAUGUACUGUCAAACCUCUGCAACUGAUAUAGAAUGUGGCAGCAAGAGUGGUCUUUAACAAGCCAAAGAACUGGUUGCACUGGUUGCGAAUAGCCGCUCGCAUCAAAUUCAAGGCACUGAUGUUUGCCUACAGAACAAUCACUGGCUCUGAACCCUAUACCUAAACUCACUACUUCAGACUUAUGUGCCUUCCAGAAGCUUGUGUUCUUCAAGUGCAUGGUGCCUUGUGGUGCCAUCCCAAAGAGACACAAAAUCACUUUCACAGACCUUUACCUUGACUGUUCCCUGCUGACUCAGCCCGAGCUGCUGGGUCUUUUGCCAUUUUCAAGAAUGGCUAAAUGUGUAUCAUGUGAUCCUGCCAUGUGCUCCCUUGUCAUGUGUCCCAUGUUUUCAUUGGUUCAUUGGUUUAAUCACUUUCAGGCAUGUCUUGUUAUGUCUUUAGCAAACCCUCGUGUUUGCCAUGUGUCUUGGUCAUGCAUUGUUCCCUGUACCUCUGUUUGGUGAGUUUGUUCCUGUUCCUUGUUUGCUAAGUUCAAGUCAAAGCCAAGUCAAGUCUUUCUUUUAUGUUUGGAUUCUUGUAUGAUUUAGUUUGUUAAAUAAAACUGCACUUGAGUUCUUAACGGCUUGCCUCCAGUGGAUCUCCGUUACAGUUUAUAAUAUCUUAAUUUCUUUAAGUCUUAUAAUCUCAUUUAACAGAUUAGAGCUUGGUGAUAUAACAUGUAUGUUCUGUUUUAUUGUCAUUGAGUUUUAGUUUCCCCUGUCUGCCUGCAUUAUCUAAAUUAUUACAUUUAUUCAUGUCAAACUAUUAUUUAAAAUGGCUGAAUAAAUCUACAUUAAUUUGCACUGACAAAAGUCUUUCUAACAGCCAGAUCAGACAUAAAGCACCUUAUAACUGAGACAGGAACAUUGUCUAGUCAAUUUAGUCUAAACUAUUCAACUUAAAUGUAUUUGUGAAACACUGUUUAGAGUUGUAAUAAUCUUGAAGCUUUAUUGAGUUUUGUGAUGUUUUAGUGAUGCCAGUGGAACUAUUGCUUAUCAUAAAUGGAGUAUGAUGUGCGUUUUUUCUCAGAAUGAAAGAACUACUCUGAAAGAGGUCAGAUGUAAUUCAUCAAAAAAGAGCUUUAUUUGAUUCUUCUUUGUGGACAAUGAAAAUAAAAUCAUACAUCAAAUUAUAAAAAGACUGUACAUAUGACACAUUGUUCAGUGGUCUUAUGAAAAUAUGUUUGUGAGAAAAAGAAAAAAAAAAAAGGCUUUUUACAACCCAGCAAUAAUAAUAAUAAUAAUAAUAAUAAUAAUAAUAUUAAUAAUAAUAAUAAUUUAAUCAUCUCCUAUGCAUUAGGAAAUGUUUUAAAUAUUUUUAGAUUUUUUUUUAUUUAUUUUUUUUU